rnacentral:rRNA from 1 species
CAGAAGUGUGUGCCAGCCGCGCGGUAAAACGUAGGUCACAAGCGUUGUCCGGAAUUACUGGGUGUAAAGGGAGCGCAGGCGGGCGAUCAAGUUGGAAGUGAAAUCCAUGGGCUCAACCCAUGAACUGCUUUCAAAACUGGUCGUCUUGAGUAGUGCAGAGGUAGGCGGAAUUCCCGGUGUAGCGGUGGAAUGCGUAGAUAUCGGGAGGAACACCAGUGGCGAAGGCGGCCUACUGGGCACCAACUGACGCUGAGGCUCGAAAGUGUGGGUAGCAAACAGG